rnacentral:rRNA from 1 species
GACGAACGCUGGCGGCGUGCUUAACACAUGCAAGUCGAACGGUGAAGGGGCCUGCUUUUGUGGGUCCUGGAUGAGUGGCGAACGGGUGAGUAACACGUGAGUAACCUGCCCCCUUCUUCUGGAUAACCGCAUGAAAGUGUGGCUAAUACGGGAUAUUCUGUGCCUGCUGCAUGGUGGGUGUGGGAAAGAUUGCGCCCUUUUUGGGUGUUUUUGGUGGGGGAUGGGCUCGCGGCCUAUCAGCUUGUUGGUGGGGUGAUGGCCUACCAAGGCGGUGACGGGUAGCCGGCCUGAGAGGGUGGACGGUCACACUGGGACUGAGACACGGCCCAGACUCCUACGGGAGGCAGCAGUGGGGAAUAUUGCACAAUGGGCGCAAGCCUGAUGCAGCGACGCCGCGUGAGGGAUGGAGGCCUUCGGGUUGUGA